UGGGGAAUCUUAGACAAUGGGCGCAAGCCUGAUCCAGCAAUGCCGCGUGCAGGAUGAAGGCCUUCGGGUUGUAAACUGCUUUUGUACGGGACGAAACGGCUCUUUCUAAUAAAGAGGGCUAAUGGCGGUACCGUAAGAAUAAGCACCGGCUAACUACGUGCCAGCAGCCGCGGUAAUACGUAGGGUGCAAGCAUUAAUCGGAAUUACUGGGCGUAAAGCGUGCGCAGGCGGUUAUGUAAGACAGAUGUGAAAUCCCCGGGCUCAACCUGGGACCUGCAUUUGUGACUGCAUAGCUGGAGUACGGUAGAGGGGGAUGGAAUUCCGCGUGUAGCAGUGAAAUGCGUAGAUAUGCGGAGGAACACCGAUGGCGAAGGCAAUCCCCUGGACCUGUACUGACGCUCAUGCACGAAAGCGUGGGGAGCAAACA
rnacentral:rRNA from 1 species